rnacentral:rRNA from 1 species
GCUUAGCAUGAAGUGAAGCACAUACACCUGCUGAGUUUAAGCAUAUAAGUAAGUGGUGGAAAUUAAACCAAAUGGGAUAUCUUUAGUAAUUACGACUGAACAAGGAUAUGCUUAGCUUGACAAAUGGAGCUAUUGGCUUUGAAUUGUAUUGUGGAAAUGUAUUACCAACAGAGGUGCAGGUGCCAGCAUAUUGAAAUAAAGCGUCAAUGAGGUUGAGAAUCCUGUUUGCCAUGUGCAGCCCUUUGUGCACGGUGUAUAUUUGCUGAGUCACACUCCUUGGCAUUGGAAUGCAAAGUGGGUGGUAAGUUUCAUGUAAAGGUAAACAUGCAAUUGAGACUGAUAGCACACAAGUACCAUGAGGGAAAUAUGAAAAGGACUUUGAAAAGAGAAUUAAAUGAGUUUGUAUUUGCUGAACACAAAGUAAACAGACUUGAUUUGCUUGGUGGGAGUGUUGCACUUGCUUGACAAGAGCUUUGGGCUGUGGGUGUAAUGAUUCUUUCUUUGCAUGCCAGUUUCUAUUUGUACAUCUGAUUACCUUUGCACAUGAAUGAUAAGUCUCCUGUGGGGGGUGGAUUGCAUGUGCAUGUAAUGAUUUGUGUUUUGAUACAUGUGUCUGGUGUAUGUGUGUGUGUUCCUGUGCUUGGGGAUGCUUCCUUCCUUGGACUUACAAGCCCUGACACACACAUGCUGGCAAAAUGCUUCUGCUUGACCCGUCUUGAAACACGGACCAAGGAGUCUAACAGAUGUGCAAAGUUUGAAGGUGGUAUACCUUUGUGUGCAAUGAAAGUGUCAGCUGGGAUAUGUGCACCAGCACCCAAUUAAUUAGCGGACAGAGGUUUGAGUUGGAGCAUAUCUAUUAGGACCCGAAAGAUGGCGAACUAUGCCUGAACAGAAUGAAUUCAGAGGAAACUAUGAUGGGGGUUCGUAUCGUUACUGACGUGCAAAUCGUUCGU